rnacentral:lncRNA from 1 species
CAAUGCAGGAGGAUCUCAAAGAAGAGCCAAAGGGAAGGAGGUGCAUGGAAGAGAACCCAGAAUUUUGGGGGAAUGUGGCAAUGUACCCAGCCAAACCUGUAGCUAACGAUAUGAGGAUGGAGAUGGAGCAGCCUUCUUGUGAUCAUGAGGAUGAGAGCUCCGUGCAAGUAUGGCUGAGGGAAAAUACAAGCUACCUGAGACACCAAGGGAACCAACAAACCAACCCUGGACUCCUUAUCACUGGACUUUGGUUCAAAAGAAAAUGAAGAUAAGCAUCAUUGACUAUACCUGAGGAAGAGCCUCUGGUCAACAACUUAAUAAUCUCAGGGAGGUAGGUCUCUCUUCUAGCUCCAUUCUCACCCUCUGUGGCUGAAGCACCCUUCCCUGCUGACUAAGUUCACCAUGAAAUGGUUUAAUAAAAUGUGACUCC